UGGGGAAUAUUGCACAAUGGGCGCAAGCCUGAUGCAGCCAUGCCGCGUGUGUGAAGAAGGUCUUCGGAUUGUAAAGCACUUUAAGUUGGGAGGAAGGGCAUUAACCUAAUACGUUAGUGUUUUGACGUUACCGACAGAAUAAGCACCGGCUAACUCUGUGCCAGCAGCCGCGGUAAUACAGAGGGUGCAAGCGUUAAUCGGAAUUACUGGGCGUAAAGCGCGCGUAGGUGGUUUGUUAAGUUGGAUGUGAAAGCCCCGGGCUCAACCUGGGAACUGCAUCCAAAACUGGCAAGCUAGAGUACGGUAGAGGGUGGUGGAAUUUCCUGUGUAGCGGUGAAAUGCGUAGAUAUAGGAAGGAACACCAGUGGCGAAGGCGACCACCUGGACUGAUACUGGACACUGAGGUGCGAAAGCGUGGGGAGCAAAACAGGAUUAGAUACCCUGGUAGUCCACGCCGUAAAACGAUGUCAACUAGCCGUUGGAAUCCUUGAGAUUUUAGUGGCGCAGCUAACGCAUUAAGUUGACCGCCUGGGAGUACGGCCGCAAGGUUAAAACUCAAAGGAAUUGA
rnacentral:rRNA from 1 species